CUGGACGUGAGGAUGGGGCACUCUUUGCUCUGUUUGCUGGGGUUAUUCUAACUUGGAGUGAAGGCCACUCUGACAGCAGACAGAUUAACCAUACCAGCAGGGGGCAGUGUGACACUGACCUGUGAUGUGAAGUACUCUGUUGACUUUGAAUAUGACUGGUUAAGAGAACUCAGUUUAAACUCUAAUCAGAAGAUCACAGUAACUGGUGAAUCAAAGAGAGAACUGGUGACCUCUAAAGGCGGCAUCUACAACUGCAGAGGACGUAUAAAAGGGACAAAUUCAGUCACAGUACAAAGUGAUCGAGUCAUCAUUCAGGAAACUG
ensembl:lncRNA